UACCUGGAUAGUUAACAAAACAUCUGGGCUAAGUAGCCUGCAUCUGUGUCCUAUUAAUAUUACUGAUACUAAUUGCUCUCCCCUGAACAUGGGUCAGAGCAAGGAAAGAAUACCAGCUCCCAUCUUCCAGGCAUCACCCUUUGUGAGCCCCUGAUGAGUGUUUAGGAAAAGAAAGCAGAUUAAAGAAAGCGAAUUCAGUUUGCAUUUGGGAGAGUGAGAUAAUGAACAGAGAACAGAAGAGAGUUCACUUGCAUAAAAAAAAAGAAACAUUGUAAGACUCAUUCAGACAUAUGCUGAAACAUUUCUUGGCUAUUCUUUCUGACUAAGACUCAAGGAGCAAGUGAAGAGCCAGAAGGCUUUGGGGUGAGGGUGUUGCUUGCUCAGUGGUGGGACUGCAUUUUCCAUUUUCUUUUACUACUUAAAUAAGAGCAGUAAUAUAGCAACUUAGUGUGGGAGGGGAGGGGAUGGGAGACUUUUCCCAAUCAGUAAUUCUGUGAGAUUGUUGGUAUUGAUUUUUCCUCCUGAGUGACACAAUUUUAAGUGACUCUUGACAGAAAUUUUCUUCUUGAUGACAAUUGACUUCUGAUUGCCUGGACAUCUUACAGCCACUCACAGGAGAGACAGGGAGCACUCAGAGUGUUGCCAGCUUCCUGUCAGGCUUCCCCCCACUAGGAUGCCCUCAACAGUCCCCAUGAGCAGCCAGGUGACAGCAAAAGAGAAGUAUGACAAAAGCGACAGCCUGUCUAUUGUAGACUCUUGCUCUGAUCAGCUUGGAAAUUCUGAGAAUUCUUGACAUGUCUAUUGGCUUAUUACUGUCAUCAUCAUCAUCAUCAUCGUCAUUAUACUUUAGGGUAGACCUGCACAGUCCCAAAGAAACAGAUGGGAAGUGAAAAUAUUUUCAAUCAUCUGAAUAGUUUGCCUGCAGCUCAAACUAAACACAAUAAUGGCUGAUGAAUCUGGUUUCAUUCUGACCAUUUUCAUCUAAUUUCAGAGCUACCAUGUUUAAUAAAUAAACAUGAGAAUAACUGAUCCAGGGUCUAGGUGUUAUGCAAAAUGGAGAUUUCUGGGCUCCUGACUAACUGGGGAGAAGGAAAUGGUGCUUGAGGAUUGAGUUCUCUGAUAUUCCCUGGUUCGAAUCAAAAAAAAGCAAGAAUUGAACCAUCAGGUCUAUUGGGGGCCCUCUUUACUCUUUUGGACAAGACAAUGAAACAUUUACUUAUAACAUCUACUCUAUUUCCAAAGAAGAUCUGAGGCAGUUUAAAUGAAAACAUACAGAAUAGGAGAGUUAAAUUGUAGAUAAAACAAAGAGGGCUCAGAAAUCUAGGUAAAGGAAGGAAUUAUAUUACCAUACAAUUAAUGCAUUUGAACACCAAGCUUGGCUCUGAUGGAGAGUCAACAGCAGUAGUAGUAAUAAGGAUAAUAACAAUAGUUACCAUUCUUUUUAUUCUUUUUAACUAGUUUUAAGACAUUAUUCUAAUCUUUACAGCAACUUUACACAUAAUAACAACAAUAAACCUAGGGGCUCAGAAAAGACAAGUGAUUCUACAAGAGCUGCAGAGUAGGUGAUGGAGACAGAAUUCAAAUUUUCUGAACUGUCCUGGUUCAAAGCCCAUAUUUUGUGGCAUAAAACAUAUCUUUGCUGGACAAUAGCUUCUUCCUGGGCCACAGGACAAAUUACUGAGAUUUAAGAUGCCCGACAGCCCUAGUAAAGGCCAAUUGUUGGAAAGAAUUACCCAGUUUGACAGUCCUUCAUUAGUGAGUUGCUUUGGAAUGUUGAUUGAACAUUUUUAAGAGAAAGUUUUCUGGGUCCUUGCUGCUUCAGUUUCUAGGAAGAGAUUCCAACUCUGCAGGCCUUUAGGGAAUUAUCUUCUACGGUGUAUUUUUCCAUAGAGAGACUGUUGAAAAGGAAUCAAAAUACAGCCCGUGUCUCACCACUUCUAUAAAGGAAGCCUCAGUCCUGCUUCUGUGGGAAGAAGGGUUCACAGCCUUCCCCUUGCACAACGAAUGGUCUGAGCAAGGGGAAGCUGAUCCCGGCCCUGGCUACCUGAUACUAUCAUCCAGAUGGCACAGCAGACUCAAGCCCUCCAUGCCAGAACCCAGGAUUAUGGUUGACUAGGAGGCUGGGGCUCUUGGGGACAAAAAUUUUUUUUUGGACAAAAAUAUACAUAAAUGGUAAGUAUGUUUGCAGCCAUAAGAGUCUCUGCUCUGUAAUAACCAUGUUAAUGUUCUCAUAAAAAGAUAUGGGGCAAGAGCAAAGUGACAGAAAGGCUGAUUAGCAUUUUAUGACAGAAUUAAGCUGCAUGACAAAUAACUCACCAGUUUUUACAGCCCAGCAAAUUCCGCUUUCAAAUGCUGGAGGUGCUAGGCUGUUUUUGUUCAUUUAUUUGUUUUCUAUAUUUAAUCAUGAAGGUGUCCAGAGCAAUAUGAGCAAAAAUGAAGUACAAUUGUAAUAGUAGUAAAUAUGAUGAUUAAUGCUAAUAUUUAUUAAUAAUUCUUUUGCUCCAAAAUUUUUGUAAAAAUCAUUGUCUUUAACUAUAGGAUUUUUCAAAUAUGCAUUGAUUUAGAACUGGAAGAAAAAGUUUACACCACUAUUCGUCAGUGUCCUAAUUCAUAUGGGGGGUUUUACAAAAUUGAACAAUUCUUCCAUUAGUUUUCCCCAACUUUGGGGAAAUCUCUUUGAGGCCAGUAUCUUGUGGGUGUUAAAGGGGAAAUGACUUCCACGUUGCCCACAGUACCAAAUCCUAGAUUAAAGACUCCCUCUACACUUGCAGUUUUGUUUGUUACAGGUACAGAAUGGGAACUGGCAGAAAUAGGCAGGGGAGACACCAUGUUUAAUUCAGCAAAGGAGAUGUGUAUUCAAAGGAUCAGAUACCGUUGCUGAGAAAUGAAUCAACAGCUGGUUUUCUCAUCUGCAGAUAUAGGAAUUGCCCCAGGUUUCCUUAAUUGCUGGUGGAGGAUGAGGAUAUUAGUUUUCAUUUACUUCAUUAAGAGUAAAAUAUUAAUGUAUCUAAAUUACCACUUAAAAAAGAGUGAAAAAUCUGUUCAUAAAUUUUCCCUCCUAAUAGAACACUGAUGAUAUACAACAUCACAUAUUAAAUACAAAGGGGUACACAAAUUCACCUCUUCUUUGUAAUUAGCCAACACGAUAGGUGAUGGUUGGGGGUCUGCUUUGUGUCUAGCACCAUGCCAGGCAGCUGGGGCUGCAAAAAGACAAUCUAAUACCUGCUGUCCAAGAAUUUCAAUCCAUUUGGGAAGCCAAGGUGAUUGAAUGAAGCAAUUAAUGAGCAAUGUAGGGUCAUAUAAUGAAGUGCUAUAGGAUGUGGAUAAAAAUUAUUCUGUCAUUGUGGUCUUGAUUGCAUCUGUAAUUUAGACUGAUAACACUUUAUAUAUUCUAACUGCUCACAAAUAUCUAUUGGAUUGAGAGUCAGGAGAUGUUAGUUUUGUUUGCCACUUUGUGUGACGAUGAAUAUGCCAUUUAAUAUAUAUUUUGCUCUUUAUGAAAUGAGGAAGAUGGAGCUAGAUUACCCAGAUAAGCCUUCCCAUUUUGGUAUAUUAGGAGCUCAUGACUGUGACUGCUCCUAUCACUAGGAUGAUUUAAAUCCUUUUUAUAGAACCUGGGAGAUGGAGGUACUUGGAAGUUACUUCUCUGAGGUUAACAGUAUCUAUUAAUCUUUCCUGAUUGGUGCGGUUCUGGGGCUCCAGACCUGAGAGGUUUCAGAUCAUGACCUGGAUAAGGAGGGGGCUGGAAUGGCCCUUAGCUGCAGAGUAUGGGACUGAAGUAGGUCUGAAAGCACCCUCGCAGGACAGCAUUGGAACAGAAAGCCUAGGAGUCUGGUCAGACAAAUUACUGGUUUGCAAAGAAAGUACCAGUGGGUAGACAUAGAAAUCAGAGAUACCAAAACUUGAGCGGAGGGUCAGAAGAAGAAUCAGAAGAGAUUAUCUGAGUUCAGGAACAUAACCACUGGGUAAGAAGGAAGCUUUUAAUUUUAAGGACAAAUGACAGCGACAGCCCCACCGGCUGGUGGUAUGGCAGCCAUCUUCAUAUGCUGCUUCACACAGACUUGGUAUUUUCCUGUAGUCGUGGGAUUCAAUGUAUGCUCUCUUGCCUUAAUUCUUACAUGAGCAAAGGCGGGCUUUGGGAAUGGUGGUUGUCUAUGACUGAGGGUGUAGUUCAUAUCUUAGGGGUGAACAUUUCUCAGCCCCCUACUUCAAAUCUCUUUCUUACCCAACCCACGCUCAAUACUGCUACUAGCACAGUAAAUUUCUGUAGCUUAGUGCCUCUGACCUUACUACUUUUCUGCAUGUGAACCUUAAUAGCUAUCUUUGACAAAAGUUAAAAUUUUAAGAUCUUCUACAAUAUGGUUUCAACUUUUUCACCUAUAUUGCCCACUUUUACCAUGCAAGCAUCCUAUAUUCUGGCCGAAUUAUAGCCCUCAGUAUGUUUCAUAUAUGCAUUGUUCUUUUCCACUGCUGUGCCUUCAUGCUAAUCCCCUUUCCUGGAAUGCCUUUUCCUGGUCAGAAUCCUCCCUAGGAUUCAACCCAGUUUCUCUCUGCCCUUGGAAGCCUUUCCAGAGUCCUCCAGUGAGAUAUGAUUUUUCCUUCCUUUGAAUUUAUGCAGCCAAUUCUCCCUCUACCCUUUUUGAAAUUUAUUAUUUCUACCUAAUAUUUCUCUUAUUUGUAUGUUUUCUUUCUCAUAUUGGAUUGUGGCCUCAUUUGGGGGAGGAAUCAUGUGUUUUCAGCACCUCACAUAGCACCUGUUACAUGGUGAAGUCUUAGAUGUCUUUUGAGUUCCUGACCCAAGCUGAGUAAGUGGAUAGACAU
rnacentral:lncRNA from 1 species